UAAGCCCUUGGCGUGGUGCAGUCUAUAUAUCCAGUAAAGUAAAAUAACAGAGGCUUCAACAGUUCACACUAGACAGCAAGCCUUCUGGGAUUCUGGUCUUCUUUAUCACGUGGCUGGCUUAAGAUCUUUCACUGCGUGUAAGAAAUAGUUGUAAGAAUUGGCCCUAAAGAAGACUGUGGGCAAUGAUUGACAAUUUCCAGCUUACAUUGAUUUGAAAUGAGUGCAAAAUCUGACCCUCUCGCAUGGAGAGAGCAGCCUACAUGAGACAUAUUUAAAGACGUCUAAAGAACACCUCUGAGAAACACAGGCUCUCUUCAGGAAGCCUGUCACUGAAUUGGAAUCAUCCUGUGGUUUGGAAGGAAUGUGUUCCGGGAAAGCAUUACAGCAGUUUACAACUCAAAGACUCCUGCAGACCCACAGAUAUGUGGGUGGGACCUCCAACCAAUAACCUGCCUGAUCAGAUGACUACUGUUGGAGACAGUGAGAGCUUGGCAAGCACAACAUCUGACACAUAAGGACUCUGAAUAGCCAACAGGCAAAGGAGAGAAAGGAAGAACUCUCGAUCCUGUGCAUUCACUAGAAAAUGGUCUGGUCUUGUCAGUUUCACUUCCCUGUCAGUUGGCGGCAAGGUCUAAAAGGAACCUAAUGAAGCUACAGUUUAAUGGCAUAUUCCACUGGGGUCUACAAGGAAGAAACAGAGUGAAUCCCUACAGCUUUCUUUUUUAAUCAUAACAAAUCUUAAAACAGACUAAAACAUAAUGGUCUCAUCAGAAGCUUUUCAUUCCAUCUACAAAAGAAAGAGAGGAUGGGAAUCAAAUUCAAGGAUUUGGAGGAAGUGUAAUCUUCCGUGUAUAACAUCUGUCUGUCUCUCAGUCAAGAGCAGCACUUGAACUAUUUCAUUUUUUAAAAUACUUUUGUGAACCCAGCUAAUGAAAAAUAGCUUGCUUACAAGGUUAAGGUUCCCAUUUUAUUUUCCCAUUGUUUCUAUUUUUAUUUUUGGUUGCAUCAGCAAGAAAAGUGAGAAUUUUCUGAAGUGCCAGAUAACUUUGGUAGAAAGCACUAUUUUAAACUCAUGCAAGAUUUCAUGAUGAACUGAAGACCUUUAUGGACAGCGAACUGCAUAGAAAUUAAUACAGACCACCAUGCAUUCUCUUCUACGAUUACCAGGAGCCAGACUUCAGACUACCAGAAGGACAAGUCUUAAUGAAACCACAGUAAUCAUUUAUCAGUUGCAACACUGGCUUACCCAAAGCAAUGUGCCAUUAAUUAGCUACUCUUUUGGCUAUUAUUUUUCCAAGAUAAAAAGCAUGCUGUCUGUACAGAUUUCAGUACUGUUGAUACAAAUGGUAACAUUAACUUUGAGCCAAAUGCUCUUAGAAAGUUUCUCCAGCUCUCUGGAUUCCAGUUCUUUACCUUCUUUCAACAACUGUCUCUAUUACAAGCCAUUAUUCCUCCUUCUGGACAUCCCCUCCCAAAAAAGCCCUGGCAUAUAGACAAUGGGUAAUUCAAAAAUAUCUAUAUUGUCCCUGCACCCUGAAAUGGUAUUGUCAUUGUAAUUUUAUUACACUCAUAAAAUUUUUGCAACUUCCCUGCAGCUCACUGUAAUUUCACCAACAGUUGUAAAAACUCUUAAAAGAUAUUUCUACAGAAUUGAGAUGAAUGGGUUUCAGUAUGAAGCAUUUCUCAUUGUAUAAGAAGGAAACUUUUUCCUUUUCCUUUUGCCAAGUACAAAGAAUAAGCAAUCCAUUCAACUAUUUGUCAACUCCCAUUAGAAACAUUUAAUAGUAAUAAAAUUUACAGACUUUGUUUCCAAAAGAUGCUGCCAGAA